CAGUGGGAAAGAACCACCGUCUAUUACAACUAAUAGACAACAUCAGCUUCAUGCUGUAUACCACUCAUCUGCCGAUGGACUCUGUAAAUGUAAGAAAACAAUAGCAGAGCUCUCUGUUGGUUUAUAUAUACCAAUCUGACUGAUGUAGAUUAUUUUUGUGUUUACAGUUGAUAGACAUUUACAAUAUAGACUAGAAAUACCUGCAGAGCCCUAAUGUGUAGCAUGUUUGAUGAACACCACCAGCAGUCUUCCAAACUAAGCAGAGCCAUCCUAGCGAUGGGGUUUUUAUCUCAGGCUGCACAGUGACAUCAUGGCAGUGGGGGAAAGACCCCUUCUUCCAUGUCCUCUGUCAAAGGUAGAUGGAUAGCAAGCAUCCUUGCUACCUGUCAACCAUCUGGCUGCCCUG
rnacentral:lncRNA from 1 species